rnacentral:lncRNA from 1 species
AUCAAGUCACAAAAAGACUAGACAAGCUGGUCUAUUAGACUGGCGAGUCUAAAUUCUCCCACUGACUUCAUCAAGUCAUGAAGAAUACUAGAGACAGACUGGUCUAGAGAUACCUAAAUCAGUCACACUAAUUUACCUUAAUGACAUGGAUCAGCUCGAAUUAAUCAGUGAUCUAAUCAAAAUAUAAUCUAUCAAAUUAGCCAGAUAAGU